GAAGGAGACAUCCAAAGGGAUCGCAUUGAUCCAAGAUUAUUUUAGUUUUAAAUCUCUCUUUGCCUUCACAGAAUAUUUGGGAUCAUGCUAUCCCUUUGGAUUCUUCCUU
rfam:Lupinus angustifolius cultivar Tanjil chromosome LG11, whole genome shotgun sequence.